UCGAGAAUAUUCGUCAAUGGGCGAAAGCCUGAACGAGCGAUGCCGCGUGUGGGAUGAAGGCCCUUGGGUCGUAAACCACUUUUGUUAUAGAAAAACUUACGUGAUGGUAUAUAGCGAAUAAGAGGUUACUAACUCUGUGCCAGCAGUAGCGGUAAUACAGAGACCUCAAGCGUUAUCCGGAUUUAUUGGGCGUAAAGAGCAGGUAGGUGGAAAUAUUAGUCAGAUGUCAAAUCCUCGGGCUUAACCCGAGAACUGCAUUUGAAACGAUAUUUCUUGAGGGAGUGAGAGACCACUGGAACUUAUGGUGUAGCAGUGAAAUGCGUUGAUAUCAUGAGGAACACCAAAGGCGAAGGCAUGUGGUUGGCGCUCUCCUGACACUGAUCUGCGAAAGCGUGGGUAGCGAAUGGG
rnacentral:rRNA from 1 species